rnacentral:rRNA from 1 species
CCCUUAGAUGUUCUGGGCUGCACGCGCGCUACACUGAUGCAUCCAACAAGUUUUUUCCUUGUUCGAGAGGACUAGGUAAUCUUAUGAGAAUGCAUCGUGAUGGGGAUAGAUUAUUGCAAUUAUUAAUCUUCGACGAGGAAUUCCUAGUAAGCGCGAGUCAUCAGCUCGUGCUGAUUACGUCCCUGCCCUUUGUACACACCGCCCGUCGCUGCAACUGAUUGGGUGACCUGGUGAACAUCUUGGACCGGCCCACUCAAUUUCGAGAGGACUGGAAAAGGCCGUAAAUCAGGUACAUCUAGAAAUUGCAAAAGUCGUAACA